rnacentral:tRNA from 1 species
GGCCCGGUAGCUCAGUGGAUUAGAGCAUUGGUCUUCGGAACCAAGUGUCGGGGGUUCGAAUCCCUCCCGGGUCACCA